rnacentral:rRNA from 1 species
AGCUGGUCUGAGAGGACGACCAGCCACACUGGGAUUGAGACACGGCCCAGACUCCUACGGGAGGCAGCAGUGGGGAAUAUUGGACAAUGGGGGAAACCCUGAUCCAGCGACGCCGCGUGUGUGAAGAAGGCCUGCGGGUUGUAAAGCACUUUUAGUGGGGACAAAAAGCUCAGGGCUAACACCUCUGGGUCUUGAUUUAACCCAAAGAAAAAGCACCGGCUAACUCUGUGCCAGCAGCCGCGGUAAUACAGAGGGUGCGAGCGUUAAUCGGAAUUACUGGGCGUAAAGCGUGCGUAGACGGUUAUGUAAGUCGGAUGUGAAAGCCCCGGGCUCAACCUGGGAAUUGCAUUCGAAACUGCAUGGCUAGGGUGCGGAAGAGGGAAGCGGAAUUUCUGGUGUAGCGGUGAAAUGCGUAGAUAUCAGAAGGAACAUCAGUGGCGAAAGCGGCUUCCUGGUCCGACUCACACGAUCGAGCACGACAGCCAGAUGAUCAAACAGGCUUAGAUACCUCAGCAGUCC